rnacentral:rRNA from 1 species
GACGAACGCUGGCGGCGUGCCUAAUACAUGCAAGUCGAACGCUGAAGAGAGGAGCUUGCUCUUCUUGGAUGAGUUGCGAACGGGUGAGUAACGCGUAGGUAACCUGCCUUGUAGCGGGGGAUAACUAUUGGAAACGAUAGCUAAUACCGCAUAACAAUGGAUGACACAUGUCAUUUAUUUGAAAGGGGCAAUUGCUCCACUACAAGAUGGACCUGCGUUGUAUUAGCUAGUAGGUGAGGUAAUGGCUCACCUAGGCGACGAUACAUAGCCGACCUGAGAGGGUGAUCGGCCACACUGAGACUGAGACACGGCCCAGACUCCUACGGGAGGCAGCAGUAGGGAAUCUUCGGCAAUGGGGGCAACCCUGACCGAGCAACGCCGCGUGAGUGAAGAAGGUUUUCGGAUCGUAAAGCUCUGUUGUAAGUCAAGAACGGGUGUGAGAGUGGAAAGUUCACACUGUGACGGUAGCUUACCAGAAAGGGACGGCUAACUACGUG